UCUUGCCAACAAGGUGAACGAGCUCAUUGCACAACAUGAUAAGUUAAAGGCUGAUCUUGAAAUCCUAUGUAAUACAGAGCCACAAACUCUUUGGCUGAGAGACCUUGACGCUCUUGAGAAGGAACUGGAUGUGUGUGAUGCAAAACUUGAAGCUGAGCAAAAGAACAGAUCAAGCAAGCACGCCGAAAAUUCUAAAAAGGCGAAGGAUUCUAAGCCAGCACCCAAGAGGGCAGUGGCAGCUAAGAAGGCGAAGGCGAAUUCGGCUGGGAGUGAUGAUGAUGAUUAUGAAGCAGCAAUUCCGAAACGUGCAACACAAAAGAAGAAACCACCACCCAAAAAGGUUGGUUCCUCAAUCAAGCCUUUUCUUAUUGUGCUUGUCAUAGUUUAUUUGCUGCCUUAACAAGUCAAUUUAACAAUUUCAUAGCCAAGUUCACCGGUGAAAGAUGAAGAGGAGGAAGUGGCUGAUCUGAAAGACCGCCUGGUUGCUUACAAUAUUAAUGACUCCUCUCCAGAACCCAAUGCCAUGGAAACGGUAGAACAGCAGAAAGGAAAGAAAGGGGGGAACGGACCAAGCAAAAGAGGUGCAGAAAAGAAGGCCAUGUCAUCCUUAGCUGAGAUUUCUGAUGAAGACAUAGCAGAGCCCCACCAUGAGAGCGAGGAUGAGGGGUCAAGUAGACGCACAUUAUUUUUUAGUUACAAUUAUGUUCAUCUUAAUCCAGUGCAUCAAGGAUGCCGUCGUUCUUUGCGGCUUCGCACCUGAAACAGCCAACAUCGCACCUCAGUUGACUAGGGAGAUAACCUGUUCACUGGCAGGCAUCAGGAGACAAGUUCAAAGGCAACUGGUGUGACAUAUACCAUCACUGGUGUUAUAGAGGAAGUUGCUCACACCAAGCUUAAAAUAACUGAGCUUCCUGUCCGCCGCUGGUCUACAAAUUACAAAGAGUUUCUUGAAUCCAUGUGUCCUAUUCCUAUCAAGGAAAAGGAAAAGAGCAAGGACAAGAACAAGGACAAGGACAAGGACAAGGAAAAGGAAAAGAGCAAGGAACCGCCAUUGUUAGAGGAAAUAAGGUCGCACUGUGAUCACGCGGAUGUGGAAUUUGAGCUUAUACUGAGUGAGCAAAACAUGAAUAUAGCCAAGCAAGAAGGCCUUGAGAAGAAAUUCAAGCUGACUACCACAAUAGGAACAACAAACAUGCAUUUGUUUGAUUCACAUGGUAAAAUAAAAAAAUAUGACACCCCAGAGGAUGUACUUUAAGAGUUCUUUGAUUUGAGGUUCAAAUUCCAUGUCAACCGGAAGAAAGUAAUGAUGGAAAACAUGGGGUAUGAGUUGCUGAAGUAUCAGCACAGAGUUAGGUUUAUUCAUGUUGUUAUUUCCGGGGACAUCAGAGUCAAUAACAGGAAGAGGGCAGACCUAUUCCUGGAGCUGAAGCAGAAGGACAACACACCUUUCCCAAAUAAAAAACCCACGUCUGGGCCAGUUGCUGUAGGAUCUACAGAAGCAGAGGAAGAUACUGAUCAGAGUCCUGCUGAAGCUGCAACUAGUGAUUAUGAGUAUCUUCUUGCAAUGUCGAUUGGUACCUUGACUUUGGAGAAGGUGAACGAGCUCAUUGCGCAGCAGGAUAAGUUAAAGGCUGAUCUUGAAAUCCUCUGUAAUACAGAGCCACAAACUCUUUGGCUGAGAGACCUUGAUGCUCUUCAGAAGGAACUGGAUGUGUGUGAUGCAAAACUUGAAGCUGAGCAGAAGAACAAAUCAAGCAAGCGCGCCAAAAAUUCUGAAAAGGCGAAGGAUUCUAAGCCAGCACCCAAGAAUAGUACACCACAAAAGAGAAGUAGAAGACCUCCGUCUAGGGCAACAAUUAUGGCCUCUUCCAGUCGUGGAGUCGAUGUCAUGGUCGCCUGUGAGCCAAAUGCAUCGCUCAGGCCACAGAAUAGGUGCUUCUGGCGCCGAGGUCAUUUCUGAACCUAUACCUGAACUUUCUAUGGCCGGUAAGAUGUCUAACCUCAAUCUUCUGACAGUCGGUGCUCGUUUGCCUCUCGUCUCUAUUCAGCUGCUGAAUGUAUGAAAUAGAUGGCUAAAUAUUUAUUUUAUUGGUCCCUUCUAGAUGGUAGUGAUGUGGAGACACAAGAGAUUGUCUAGCAUAUGCAUAUAAAUAAAAUUAUACAUUGAUCUUUCUUAUCUCUGCCAGUGAUCAGUGAACUAUUGUUCUAGAUGUACACCUACUGUGUUGCAUAUUUCGCCAUCAUUCAUGGUGGCCUAUAGCUCUUCUCGUUUACCAUAGGAGUAGUACCAAUCUUUGGAAUGCUCCGAAUUUGGGUAAAUUUGGAAACAUUUAUGGAUGGGUCAAUUUAUGGACUUGUUCCUUUAUUACGUAAUUGUAUAGUUCAUGAUCUUAUAUAGUUUAGGGUUGUUUAUCCUAUUAUUUAUGCAUGAAGUUAAAAGCUAAACAUAGCAAAUGACACAAGUGAUUUGUUCAAAUAUAUCACGGAAGAAAGUACUUAUUUUUUGUUUCUACUUUUUCGGUGACAACUGGGAAGUUUCCUAUGUAUGGAGCAAGUUGUGUUGGUUUAACCUCAAAGUGGUAUAAGAAAAUUGCAGUUCUUUUAUUUUAGUUAUAUCUUGUAAGCUAUAGAAAAUAGUAGUAUGAUCUGUUUGUCUGCAGAUGGUCACCAAAUGAUUGUUCCGUCUGUGCUGAUCCGCGAGAUCCUGAAGUUGAUGCAGGAAGAGUGGCCCCUGUUAGGUGUUACUGGUAAUCCAAACUUGUAUUAGCAUUAAACUGAUGGAUAUAGUAGGUAUGAUGAGUGGGAUGUGAAAGGUGCAAUAAGGAGACAUCAAUAGAUUGAUUGUUUAUAUUAUAUAACCAUAACAUACUUUUAGUUUUGAAAUUAUGAUUUGAGCGUAUGAUUAAA